rnacentral:lncRNA from 1 species
GAUGAAAUACAUUAUAAAAGGACAUCUCUUGAAUUUAGUCUCCAACUCAUUUGAGAGUGCUUGUGAGGUCCUCCCUAUUAUAAAUAUUUAGAGUUGUAUUUGAAAAAUCAAUGUGCUGCUUAUGGGCUACAAGGAGUACUUCUUUUAAUUAUAAUCAAGCUAGUAAUAAAGAUCACAAUGGCAUCAAUGGUUUCAUCUUCAUGUAAGUUUUAUUGUCCCAUAAAGUGUAAUAUUGUGGUAUUGGAGCCAUAUAGAUUAUUAAUCUUCAAGAUUAGAGCCCUUUUUUUUUAAUUAAAUACUAUCCAUA